rnacentral:lncRNA from 1 species
AUUAGGAUCAAAAUGCAUACCUUAUCCUCCAAUUGAAGCUCCUCUUCCAACUCCACUUGAAGCACCAAUUUCAACUCCACCUGAAGCACCAUCAAAAAUUCCUCCCUCCAUCCUCUUUCCUUCCUUCUCCAAAAUUCAAAUAAUCCAAGAAAACCAAAUUCCAUCCACAAGUGUUUCACGUUGAGUUCACCAAAUAUGUCAUAAUAAGUGAAGUCUUA